rnacentral:rRNA from 1 species
UUGCACGCUGGCGGCAUGCCUUACACCUGCCAGUCGAACGGCAGCAUGAUCUAGCUUGCUAGAUUGAUGGCGAGUGGCGAACGGGUGAGUAAUACAUCGGAACGUGCCCUGUAGUGGGGGAUAACUAGUCGAAAGAUUAGCUAAUACCGCAUACGACCUGAGGGUGAAAGUGGGGGACCGCAAGGCCUCAUGCUAUAGGAGCGGCCGAUGUCUGAUUAGCUAGUUGGUGAGGUAAAGGCUCACCAAGGCGACGAUCAGUAGCUGGUCUGAGAGGACGAUCAGCCACACUGGGACUGAGACACGGCCCAGACUCCUACGGGAGGCAGCAGUGGGGAAUUUUGGACAAUGGGCGAAAGCCUGAUCCAGCAAUGCCGCGUGUGUGAAGAAGGCCUUCGGGUUGUAAAGCACUUUUGUCCGGAAAGAAAUGGCUCUGGUUAAUACCUGGGGUCGAUGACGGUACCGGAAGAAUAAGGACCGGCUAACUACGUG